CAUUUACUGUAAUAGCGUUGUUUGUAGUGGUGCCCCAUCGAUUUUGCUCCGUUGUCUUCAGCUGAGGUUCUGACAGUGGUCCUGCCUGAAAUCAAAUCAGCCACCACAAACUGCAGUCUCGCAGCCAUUUCGGGCGCUCUCAUCAUGUCCACAUUUGCAGAAAACAAGGAUAAGUGCCGUGCCAUUGAGAUGGGCUGCAAGCUGUGUUUUAUGCAGGAGGUUUUAUUUUAGCAUAUUCUGCUAUUCUAUUUUCAGAUUGAUCCAUGUGCGCUUGUCAUCUCAGGGUCCAUGCAUUGCUGAGAUGCAGCUGAGUGCUUCAGCUCUGCUGUUCUCCACGUUUCUUCUUUAUACUCUCUGUGCAGAAACCGCUGUGUGCAGGGCAGGAGGUCUGUGCUGUGGUAGCCAUCCCUGCAGCCCCAUGUCCCAGACUCAUGCAGACUUAUUUGUCUUGAGUUUAAAUUCUUGUCCUUUUGUUCUACAACCACAGGGACUUCCGCCCUGCCAAAAAUAACCCUUAAAUGCUGCAACAGUGAGGGCUGUUGCUGCUGCCUCCAGGUGACCACUCACUCACCUGUUGGUAAGUGCUGGGCUUCCUGCAGCGUUGCUCAUACAGUAACGACAGUUUCCGUGGGCUGGUGUUAUUUGUGUCUUCUGUUAUUUGCUGGCUCUGCUGUUAUUUGUGAUGUGUUGUUGCAUUCCUCUUUUGCCAAUGUGCCCCCUGAUCCUGGGUGCCCGAAAGCAGGCGCCGCUGUCUGAUGGAAGUGCUGUUUUGUGAGGAAAUGGGCCCAAAUUGUGUGGUUAUCCCUUGGCUCAUUAGAUUGGACUUCAAUCAUUGUGGUGAGUAAGGACAGCUGGUGUGAAACCUUCUGGAAUGGGGUAACUAAGGUCAGCCAUGGUCAAACUGUGAUGUCAGACAUCCACUUAUAAUGCUGUGUCCUCACUUGCGGAGCAGCAAUGAUCAGCAUCACUGUUAGUGCAACUGAGAGAGUUGGUGAAGAGAGAUGAACUCUCAGGUGUAGAAGUUCUUCCUGCCCUUAAAUACAGGCCAUCGUGGUUUAUUGUUAGUAAAGACUCAGUGUUGAGAGUGCCGGGCUCUUCAGAUGGAUGCUGCCCUACAGAGCAGCCCUUCAGCUGCCUUCUUGGGGCUCCUGCCAUUUCCCAGCUUCUUUGCCAGAGCCCCAUGCUGAGCAGGAGGAGCAGUGCAGGAGACCCGGCCAUUGUCCUCACUUAACUUUCUCACUGAACUUUGGAGGCAGCAUAACUUAUAGGAGAGGAUGUGAUGUCAUCUGGACCCUCUUCUGCGAAGAUCCAUGGUUCAGUAAAGAAUGGUUUCUGAAGAACUCUAGUAGAGAUUCAGAACUCAGGCUGUGUUUUGUCAUAACAUUUUCUUUAAUGGACUUUGCUGCAAUGUUUUCAUUUGUCAGCAUUCCUUCUUGAAAUUUAAUCAUCCAUUACAGAGUACUGUCUCUCAACCAUUUGGAGCACUCACAUCCCAUCCAGACCUGCACAAAGUGGGACAAGUUUCAUGAUGUGGAUUCUGGCCUCAGGCUAUGUUUCUUGACAAACAUUCUUCCACCUUGACUUGCUCAUGCAGAAGUGGUCCGGUGUGGAUGUGAAGGCAUGCUGUUUUCUUGCAGAGCAAACAAGAAGUGGGAAUGUUUUACAGCAUGUAUUCACAUGCAGUUUUGAUUUCCAAGUCCACUUAUUGCUGACAUGUAGCUGCCUUCUCCAGCGCUGUUCUUCUUUGCAAUUGUUCUGCAAAUGCUGCUUUGUGCAAGGCAGGUCUGUGAUGUGAAACCCAUCAAAGAAGCCCCAUGUCCCAGUGGCAUGCAAAUUUUCACUUUUUUUUCAAAGCAGAAUGUCUGUGGUCUUAUUCUACAACCACCAGGUCCUCCACGCUGACAAAUGUGUGUGUCAACAUUCACAGCCUUUGUUGCUGCCUCCAGGUGACCACUCACCCGUUGGUAAGUGCUGGGCUUCCUGCAGCUUUGCACAUACAGUAGCGACAGUUUCCCUGGGCUGGUGUUAUUUGCGUCUUCUGUUGUUAUUUCCUGGCUCUGCUGUUGUUUGUGAUGUGUUGUUGUAUUCCUCUUUUGCAAAUGUGCCCCCUGUUCCUGGGUGCCCGAAAGCAGGCACCGCUGUCUGAUGGAAGUGCUGUUUUGUGAGGAAAUGGGCCCAAACUGUGUGGUUAUCCCUGGGCUCAUUUGAUUGCACCUCAGCACAUUUUGUUGACUAAGUGAAGCUGCUGUGAAGCCUUCUAGAAUCUGUUAUUCUAGACUGCUUUUGAGCAGUUAAGACUUUUGAUGUCAACGUAAAUUAGAGCAUCUAUUUUUUUUUUUUUUACAAUAUGAUGUGGAAAUUUUGUUCAUCCAUCCCUUAAAUAACAUUACGUGAAUCCAUGUCUUGGAAUCCCUCCAAGGAAAUUUGAACAGUGGGCCUUAAAGCCUCUGUCCAUCCCCCAUCAUGGCAUCUAAUUUAUGCUGUUUGUGUCUGCUGUAAGUAUAUUUUUCUCAGUCAAAAUAGAGUCCAUUCUACCUUUGCAGUGGGAUCAGGAGCUUUAAGGAGUGUCUGACUUCCCUGCCUGGUGGAGGAACAUGGGGCAGGAGCUGAAGCUAUGGGCGUGCCUUGUGGAUGGCUGGAGCUGUCCCAUGUUUUUCGAGGUGCUGAAUUGAACUGCUUCUGCCUUACAGCAGCACUGUGACGAAAGCAGGAAAUUUCCUCAUUUUAGUGGUCCAUUCCAGCUUGAUUGGAAGGGAACCUGCUGGCAAAUGUAUUAGGUUAAUUGUAUCUUGCAACUGGAUUCUCACCCUGCCAUGGAGCAUGGUUGCCUACCCACAGCAUCUCAUCUUUAGAGAUGUGUUAGAUGAACAUCUAUAAGCGGAGUACAGGAAAGUCCAGGAAGAUCUUUUGCCUUUUUUGGUAGGGACAUCUUACUUCCCACUUUUCUAUGGGUCAUUACAUAUCAAUAAAGGACAUCUCGUGGAUGGGCUGUACUACAGGCCAUGUGGUCAGGGGGCGCCUGUGGAUGAGACCUUCUUGCUUUGGCUUCAGGAAUUGUCACAAUCUCACCCUCUCAUCUCGAUGGGGGAUUUGAAACACCCAGAUGUCUUCUGAGAAAGCAACACAGUGAGCUGCAAGCAAUCCCGGAGAUUCCUGUCAUGUGUUGAGGAUAACUUUCUGGUGCAGGUAUUAGACAAACUGACUGGAGCUGUAAUGUUUCUGGACCUGUUCCUCACCAGUUCAGAGGAGCUCAUUAAAGAGGUUAAGACUGGAGGCACUCUAGGCUGCAGUGACCAUGCUCUGUUGGAGUUUGUGGUCUUGAGGAAAAUGGACCUGUCAAAAGCAGAGUCAGGAUCCUGAACUUCAGGAGAGUGAACUUCAGGUUCUUUGAGGAUUUACUGUCUGAGAUGCCCUGGGAAGCUGUCCUUACAAACAAAGGAGUGUAGCAGAACUGGCAGCCCUUUAAGGAUGCCUUUCUGAGGGCACAAGAGCAAAGUGAGGGAUAAGAUAGAACAGCUCAGAGGUCAGAGUUCAAAGGUCAUCUACCUGUAUCCAUGCUUAAUAAGGAGAUUUCAGAUAGAAAAGCUUGGAGUUAAUUCCUACCAGGAACCCUGGUCAGACACAAAGUUAUCUCAACACAGUUUGGAGUGUCUUUUCAACAGGGACUUUUCUUAUUUUGAAAUAUUAAUGGGGUAGGUUGUAGCAAGUUGGGUCUCCCUGCCCUCAUGGAUAUUGUCAAUUAAAACAAACAAACAACUUGCAGAAAGAGAUAAAAAUCACAGUGGGGAAGAUAUUGGAGAAUAGAAGCAGACUGGGGCAUCAGAACAGAGUAUUGGAUAUGAUUGGUUUAUUGGUCAUCUCGUGGAAGGCUCAGCUGUCCAGCACAGCACACAGCACUUUUCCACAGCGGCACGGAGCUGCCCGGCUUCUUAGGGUCAGCGCUGUCCCCCGUGGUCUGGGUGUGUCCCAGCAGUGUGGGGCAGGAGCACAUGUCAGGCCGCGGGAGGUGUGCAGUGCUGGUGGGCAGCACAGGAGGAGCAGCCAAAUGCCCGCGCAGCAUCAGGGCGGCUGUGUGUGUUGCUGAUGGGAUCCGUGCGGUGCUUGAGGAGGACGCCUGUGUGCCUUCUGCUGAGCAGCGACGCAGCACUGCUUGCUUACGGUGAGCUUGGUCCUGCAAGGGAUGGGCUUGUGGUGAGCGUGUGUGACGCGUGGCUGUGUUCAUUACAGCACUGCUGAUGCUUCCUGCUGUUAACAUUUGAACAUCUGAUCUCUUCAGCAAGGAGGAAUUGUAAUGUUUAAUGAAGUUUUCAAGCUGUAGUCUCAAAACACAAGUUUUUGUUUCAAAUUGAGGCGUCCAAAACCAAUCAGACUCAAAUAUAGAGCUUUUCCAGUGUGAAAUGGAGCUGUGGUUUCUGAGCAACUUUCUGCCCCCUUUUCUUUGCAGAGCUGCAGGGCUGAAGGGCUUUGGAAAAUCUCAAGUGCAGCACUCACACACCACUCACACAUCUUUCCACUGCGUGUUUCCAGUACAGCAGCCAAUACUACAUGCUGGAUAUUCCUACUAUAAACCUCACAUGCCGUAAAAUACAGUUUGCAAACCACAACUACUCCUGCACCCCCAUCCCCCCAUGGUGCUGCCCUAUAACCCAAUCAGUAGGUCAGAUAUCUCCCCAGGCACAUUGCUUGUUGAUACCUGAGCUGAGAGUUUCCUACCAGGGCCGAAUGUCAUAAGGGUUUGCUUCGUGCAAGACGAUAGCUUUGCACAAGCAGGUUGCCUUGUACAGGCUUCGUGCACCUCAUCUCUGGAUGCCUUACAGCUGGAAAGUGCAGCCAGUCGGUAAAUCAGCACCAAUGCUGCCACCUUUUGGGAACCGGUGACAAUUCAUGCCUACAGCACAAUAGGUUUUGCUAGAGCUGGAGGCAGGAGCAACCAGUAUGCUGUUCUGCAGCUCUGAUCUCCUGCACACCACAGAGACUUUCUGUAGUUCUGCACUGAACUUCAUGUCUUCCAGCACCACCUAUGGGGUUUCCUCAAGAAAAUGAUGAUGAUCUACAUUGUUCCAGUGCAUCCAUUUUUGUCUAGAGAGCAGUUCCAGUCUUUAAUCGGUGAACGGGUCUCACUUUCAAUUCCCACCUUCUUUUGCAGCCCCCAUUCCCACAGUCAGGUUUCUGUUGGGUUCUCAUAGCCGUGGCGUUGUCCCCACAGCCCUACUCUCACCUCCAUCAAUUCACAGUCCUGUCGUAUGUUGUCAGUGUGCCUCAAGGAAGCACACAGCCCUUCCUAAAAGCCUUGGAUGAGGAAAGCCAGGUGGAGAUAGUCCAGGGGGCUUCUGGGACCAUUUCUGCAGUGGAGGAUAACUUUCCUAGGGCAGGGUACUGCUAUGCAUCCUUAGUGGUAACAUCUUAGGAGGGAACUUUAAUUUCUGUGGUUGGUUAGGGGCUCAGGGAGUGGAAUUGGACCCAAUUCUGAUUGCCCAUCCUUCCUGCCAACAGUGCUGGCUGUAUGGAAACAUAUGGCUUUGCUUCGUCUGUUUUGUGGUGCUAUUGAUGGUGUUGACUGCUUAGUACAACUUGUUAUUUCCUCUAGAUUUUGCAUUAACUUGGAACAAAAAGAAAAAGAAAAAAAAAAAAAGAAAAAAAAAAAACCCCAACCCUCACUGUAGAAUGAAAGCUGUGAACACAACUCUCAAACAGGAUGUCUUAUUCAAAAGAGGCUGCCUUAAUGCACCCUUUUGUCAUCAACAAAACAAACUCUAUUCAGUGCUAGGUUUCACUUUUAGCAGCCUGGUGCCCAGCACUGCUGUGAAGAGGAGUGACUGCUGUUUUCCAUACCGAGUCCCCUAGAACUGCUGCCCUGUGCUUGUGAGCGUUGGACUCUACUUGUCAUAUAACAAUUCAUGUUUAAGACAUAACCUGCAAACGUUACUUUCAUGCAAUUAAUUUACUUACAUUUAACCUUUUGCAGUUAUAGAACUGUAAAAGGAUCUACCAGAGACUGGUCAAUAAAGGAUCAAGUGAAAUUCAGAA